UUCAAACACUGUUUCAACAAA
rnacentral:piRNA from 1 species